rnacentral:rRNA from 1 species
GACGAACGCUGGCGGCGUGCUUAACACAUGCAAGUCGAACGGAGCACCCUGAUUGAGGUUUCGGCCAAAUGAUAGGAAUGCUUAGUGGCGGACUGGUGAGUAACGCGUGAGGAACCUGCCUUUCAGAGGGGGACAACAGUUGGAAACGACUGCUAAUACCGCAUGACGCAUUUUGAUCGCAUGGUCGAAAUGCCAAAGAUUUAUCGCUGAAAGAUGGCCUCGCGUCUGAUUAGCUAGUUGGUGAGGUAACGGUCCACCAAGGCGACGAUCAGUAGCCGGACUGAGAGGUUGACCGGCCACAUUGGGACUGAGAUACGGCCCAGACUCCUACGGGAGGCAGCAGUGGGGAAUAUUGGGCAAUGGGCGCAAGCCUGACCCAGCAACGCCGCGUGAAGGAAGAAGGCUUUCGGGUUGUAAACUUCUUUUAAGUGGGAAGAGUAGAAGACGGUACCACUUGAAUAAGCCACGGCUAACUACGUGCCAGCCGCCGCCGUAA